AGGCUACUAAUAAUAGGUCCUGCAUACAGCCUGUUCAUCUGGUCAAGGUAAAUAAUUGGUAAUGCUAUGUAUUUAUAGUCCAUUUGUGUGUCAGGAGAAAAUUUGAAUGUGAUCAAAUUUGGUUUAUAUUGAAAAUUGGGCUGGCAAAGCAGCCUAUACGUUUUCAAUCCAAAAUGAUUAACUGGAAUUAAUCACCAAAAUAGUGAUGACAGGUGUGAGUCAUUAUUUUUAAUAAGGCAUACAGUUGCAUAGGCCUGCAUAACGCAAACCUGGGUAAAGCAAGCUCAGCCCUGUGAGUUCUGUCUAUCAGUUGUCUGUGUCUGGGUAGAGGAAAUCCCCCUCCUAAUCUAGUCUAAAUAUAAUUCCUAUGAACAAGUAUAAGGUUGCUGCAGUUUGACCUGAUUAGGAAAAACUGGUGUCCUCAUAUCCCCUAUAAAACCUUUUUACAACUGAAUAAUCACUGUCAUACCUUUUAUAGGGUCCAGAGUUUUCCUGGUUUGGUUAACAGAUAAGGAAAAACUCUGAGUCCCAGGGGGUAAAUGGAAUGUUUCCUCCAAGCACUUCAAAUCCUGUCCUGCACUGAAGUCAAGCCUCUGAACACCUCAACUCAUGCCUCAUACCCUCAUUCAAUCACUGCUGUGAUCCCUUUCCAACAUGGUAUGGCCAUAACAGGGCCGGCUGUGGAUUCCAGAGUGGAUUCCUGUGUGUUGUGACCAAGAGAACAGAUGCCUUGGGUUCAGUGAAAACAAUUACAGGGUUGCUUACUGUACACACACACACCAGGCUGAGCCCACUGCAGGGGAGAGGGGACCUGUCCUGCUCCUAGUGUUGUGUGUUUUCAGUCCCACUCCAGACUAAUUCCUUCACAUAGAAACACAGGGAUGUGUGUCUGUGUGCUUGAUGAGGUCACCCAGCAGACAGAGCCGGAGGGAAACUGAACAGGCAAACAUGACUGAACAGGACAGGAGGGAGGACCACUCUUUUGCAUCCCAAAUGACACCCUAUUCCCUUUAUAGUGCACUACUUUUGAACAGGGCCCACACAUACACAUGCAUGUGUGUACACACACACACACACACACACACACACACACACACACACACACACACACACACACACACACACACUCUCCAGUGAAAAUGACUAUUUAAACCACUAUCCUUACUGGGGAUGUACAGUGUGAGUGUAUGUGUUGAACAGAUGUUUUUAUACACGGUGCUGAUUUCCUCAACAAGUUGCAGCAUUGCCCUGUACUGCCCCGGGACAGCACGCACCCCUGCCUCCACGCAAAACAACUAGCAGGUACAAAGAAUGUACAAAUCAGAAUGGGUGGAACAGACAUUCCUUUUCAAAACAAUGUUAUGUACAUGUCAACUCAAAGCAAUAUCACGUUGCAAUGUCACACUGUUAUAUGAUAGAAGCAUGGCUUGUGAGAAGGAGAGAGAAGGAGAAAGAUACAUAGUUAAAUAGAGAGAAAAGAAAGGAAUUGAAAGUUUAAAAAGAGAAAGAUGAGAGGGAGAGGAAAUAGCUGGAUGUCUGAAGGGACUCAUAAAUCCAGAGAGAGAGAGGAAUGAGAAAGAUGACUAUGUUGGACUCCCUGGGGGUUGUGUUUGGAGUCUCAAUCGGGGGCUGGAGGAGGUUGUGAAAGACCCGGGGGAAUUAGCGGAGGCAGGUGGAAGAAUAGGAGUCAGAGACAAUAUUUGCUAAAUGUACCGUACGGCAUGAUAAAGCAAUCUGAAUUGGAAUGAAAGUCUGAGGGGCCAGGCUGUUUGGAGUUGUCGUAGCUGGCUGGGGGAGGAUGCAAGCGAGAAGGGGCAGUUUGGAAUGGCAGUGAGCUGGUGAAGUACAGUUACAGUACUGUGCUGCUCCCAUCACUCAUCUGACGUAACGCACUGACAUCCACAUCCAUUCGUUCACAUGGAGUUAUUGAACUAAGCGCGUGUAAGUGAGAGGGGCGCUUGACUGAUGACAGUAACGGUGGGAGCCACAGGUCGGUUCCAUCUGAAUCUCAUACCUUAUGAAUCACAGCUUGAGACCAGAUUGGAUACAGAUUCAGAAACACUGGUUUGGUGUAUUGGAUGCAUCAUAAGAAAAUGUACAAGGCUUCAGAGGGGUAACAGUGCCCCUCUGGCACUGGGGAACCUCUGGCCUGGUGAAGCUGACAGGAGCUCAAAAACUUAAAAAAAAAUAGACCCCCUACUUUAUCAUCCAAGUAAUUCUUCUUUCUCUUAUCUGAGCAGACCAGAAACCUUUCAAUAUACAGUAUACAUUCAAACAAUACUUUAGAACCAUUUAAAUAUAAUAAAUUGGAAGGUUGUGCAGGACCAUGGUAGAUGAAGGAACCAAUCUUUUCAGACUGUUAGAGUAUUUAUCUGGUCAGUAAGGCAGGGUAUUAUGUCUGCUGUUUGUAACAGUGUUAUAUGUGAAAAUGUAUUGUGGAUGAAAAGAAAUCUCUCACCCUGUCUCCUGGUAUUUUGUGUUGAAACUCCUUUACUUUAUCACCACAGUAAUGGCAAGUAUUUGACAUGGUGAACUUUACCCAGCUACAGUAUGCACAAUUAUCAAAACCAUUAAAACACAAUAAAAAUGAUAUUUGAUUGGUA